GUAGAUCAUCUGCCCUCAGGUCCGGGAUAGCUGCGGGAAACUGCAGGUAAUACCGGAUAACAUCUCCGGAUCAAAGGUGUGAUUCCGCCUGAGGAUGAGUCUACAUCCUAUUAGCUAGUUGGUAGGGUAAUGGCCUACCAAGGCAUUGAUGGGUAGCGGGUGUGAGAGCACGACCCGCGUCAUUGGGACUGAGACACUGCCCAGACACCUACGGGUGGCUGCAGUCGAGAAUCUUCGGCAAUGGGCGCAAGCCUGACCGAGCGACGCCGCGUGUGGGAUGAAGGCCUUCGGGUUGUAAACCACUGUCAGAGGGGAUGAAAUGCAGGUGGGUUCUCCCAUCUGUUUGACAUAGCCUCAGAGGAAGGACGGGCUAAGUUCGUGCCAGCAGCCGCGGUAAGACGAACCGUCCAAACGUUAUUCGGAAUCACUGGGCUUAAAGGGUGCGUAGGCGGCGCGGAAAGUUGGGUAUGAAAUCCCUCGGCUCAACCGAGGAACUGCGCCCAAAACUGCCGUGCUC
rnacentral:rRNA from 1 species